GAAGUAUUUUCUUAUUUACAAUCCAAGUAAUUAAACGUUAUUAUAUGGAUAUCAAUACCAAUAAUUUUGUAUUCUAAUAAUUACUUGUGACCUAACUUAGAGCAUUCUUUUGUAUUGUUAAUUCAUGGACAAAGUUAGUUCUUCCAUAAAUUUAAGUAGUAAAGUAAAUCAAACAAAACUGAGGUGUAGUGUAUUGAUAUUUAGUAAACAAACCAAGUAGAUUGAAAAAAUUGUACUUAACCCUGGAAGACCAUACGUAUCAUAUCUGAUAGUUUUGAAGCAUUCUGUUUUAUCAUUUUGACAAUUUUUUGACACAAAGACUCCAUGGGGGUGAAUGGCAAAUGGGAAUAAGACAUCUAUCCUAAAUCUGACCAUAUAUUCACACUAAUAAAAUCUAUUUCGAAAUGUUAACAGUCAUAAAAUUAUAUCAUUUGUGAAAACGUGAAAGUGUGAUUUCAGGGGCCAAAGUUCGAAGAAUACUCACAAUUCUCAAAAAAUUUAAUAUUGCAUUUUUUUUUUUUACAUUUUUUUAUAAGAAAUUGAAAUUGAAAGGGAUAUUUUUAGUGACAUAAGCAGGAUGUGAGGAAGAAGCUUGCGUUUUUGAUGUAGCUAGUUCGAAAAAAUUGUGAUAUGGUAAGAAAAUACCCAACACAAAAUGUCAUUGCUGUACAAUGUAAUCACAUGGUAGCACAUCUCGUCCAAAGUUUGAAAGGAAACAAAAUUUAUUUAAUAAAGAUUACAUUAAAGCAUUAAUCCUCAUUUUGUAUCCAUGUACUAAGAUAGACAUUAUUCUAACCUAUAAAAUAUUAAUAUGGAGCAAAAAGAGAGAAUAAAAUAAGAAAAGUUUGAUCUUUCCUCUCUAAAAAUGAUGUGCGCUAUAGACGAAUCAUCAAGAUUUCCCAAGUUUUUUUUCUUUUUUUUGUUCCAUUGGAGACUUUUAAAUAAAAGUUUUAAACACUUUUUAUAGGUUAAAUAAAUGCCCAUCAAAAUUAUUUCAUCCAAAAAUAUCUUCUUAGUAUCUAUAUGUACUAAGUAAGUAGUUUUUGUCUUUUUCAUUAUUGGAUCGAGAUGUGUGAACUAAAGAUGACUUUGUAGGACAAUCCAAUUUUGCAUAGCUAAUUUUCAUAGCAUAUUAAAACUUUUCCACACCAGCCAUACUCAAAAUUCGAAAAAUAAACUACCCUAUUAUACAAUCAUAGAUUGCGUUUGAUUUAAAGCUAUAUGUACAUAGAUAUCAUUAGUUUUGUAUCCGUCCUAAUUUAGGACUGAAGUUCAGUCUCGGUCCGAUUCCGUUUAGUCCUACACAUCAGUCCUAAGGUUUAUAAAUUUAUGUCCUUGAUGAUUCACUCAACUGUAUUCCAUUUUUAAGACUGGGGACUAUGACAGAAGAGUGAAGGUGCAAGAGAUUGCAUAUCAAAUUGGGACCCUAUUUCAAAUAAUUGGGCGAACACAACUGCUGAGGUGUGAACUGUUGGUGCAUUGUCGUGAUGGAAAGGGAUCUCGAGCGUUUUUCAUGCAACUCUGUUUUCAAACGGUUCAAUAAUGAGGAAUAAUAUCCAACUUUAAUAGUCUUACACUUUUCCAGAGUCGAUGAGGAUUAUUCCUUGGUAAUCUAAAAGACAGUCGCCAUAAUCAUUCAGGCCGAUUCCUGGAUUCAAACGAAUGCCAAACAAAAAGAAAUAGACCGAUCUGGCUGAAAGUUGGUGUGUGUUCUACCAAGAGAUCCUACUAACCAAACAUAACCUCGAUACGUACCAGUAGUGCACGGAGUUUUCAUACGACCCUCGUAUUAUCAAUGUAUCCUUGACAUUUGCAUCAAAUUAAUUCCUUACUAAUUAUGGUCAAUCGUUAGCAAUCAAUGAAUGUGAUCAUUCAUGUUUCCGUGUAAGCGAUUAGACAAUAAUAGAUCAAUGUUCCACAAACACCUCUUUUAUUUGUCAUUUAUAAUUAUUAUGUAUCUAUGCAUUCCCUAUGCAUUUUGCAAGAAUGAUUCAUGAUAUUUUGUAUGACUUCCUUGUCUCUAUCCAGUGGAGAGUACAUAAAAUAUACAAAGUUAUAAUUUUAGGUAAGUAACAUAUAUUAAAAAAAUUAAGUAAAAUAUUACAACUCGUUAAUGUGUUUUUGUAUUCCUUUAUUUGUUAUGAGAAGAUGUGGGCAAACAGGAUUUUUAUCAAAGUAUGUAACUAAAAAAUACCAAGGAAUAGUUCAAGGAGAAAGAUUUGGGAAAGAGCUUGUCAUCAAAAGGGUCACCAUGGAAAGACACUCAGAAUUUGUGCAAAUCAUUUGAAGAAAGUAAUAUGAAUAUAAAAUCUAAUUCAUAUUUUCUAAAGGUGAUGAAAGGAGGACUUGACAAAGAAUAUUUACUAAGGUUCAAACUGAACUCAUCGUCCGCGGCUAGAAUCUGGCAGACUGAAUAAAGAGAAUAUUAUUCAGGGACUCGUACUCAAGUCUCUUUUCUCAAAAGUUUACAGAUACAUUCAGUCAAGAGGCCUCCUUACUGCUCUUUGUGUAUCAACUAUAAUAAAGUGGAUUUGAAAUUUUAAAACAUGCUAUCAUUAUCGAAAUAGUGUCUCAACAAUUUAAAUCAAAAUGUCUGUUAAUGACUCUUUGGCUUGAAAUGUUAAAAGUAAUAUUAUGUUGCUUGCAUCGAUCAUCAUUACAAUUCCUUUGACAUAUCACUGACUUUUUAGUCAUCAUAUCUUGAGACAGAUUAACACAUAAGUCGACCGUAGUCCUAAAAACUCAGAGGCUAUUGUAUAAAUUGGAUAAUGCUACAAAUACUUUUUUAGUACUCCACAAGUUAAUUUGUAUAAUAAUUUAUGGUCAUGCUUGGAGCUAUGUCCAGCUUAUAUAUAUAUGAUGAUGUCAACGGAUUAGAAGUUCCCUUUUAAAACUCUUGGGAUUCAUAGUGUAUAAGUGUGAUACAAUCCUCAACUCCGUGUAUUUACCUAACCAAUAAUACAGUUAUCAUUUCAUGAAAUAUAUUGAAAAAAAAGAAGAAACAGUACUGAACUUUUACGUUUAUAAUAAUUUAUUUUGUGUACACCUUUGUAUAAAUUUGAAAUUUAAAUCAGUUUUUUCUAUGUAUAAUAUUGAGGACUUUUAGUUUAACAAACCCAUA
rnacentral:lncRNA from 1 species